GUCGAUAUGUCCGAGUGGUUAAGGAGACAGACUAGAAAUCUGUUGGGCUCCGCCCGCGCAGGUUCGAACCCUGCUGUCGACG
rnacentral:tRNA from 1 species